CCUCAUUCUCCGGUGGCUUGCAUGGGUAUUCCCGUGAAAAAAAGAAAAAAAACAUGAGCAUUUUGCGAGAAGUAUAAAUGCUCAUAGCACACAACUGCGAACUCAGAACCUGCAUCAUAUCAACAUGGCACUGUUGAAGCUGUCCUGGGUAUUUGUGGUGUUCGCCGCAGUCCUGGCAGUGGGAACAACAGAACUUGGAAAGCCCUCAGUAUCUCAGCAUGUGACGCAAGACAGCCAACUGGAUCCACCAGAGGACACUGAAGAAGUGAAAGGAGAGCUACCGCGAUCACUAUGGAGGCGUCAGAUAGUCCCGAUGCCACGCCCAUAUCUGCCUGACACAAUACCGCACCCACGUCCUUGGCCACAACCCUAUCCUCACCCAAACCCCUUUCCGAGGCCUCACCCGCACCCACUGCCCUCGUUUCCACGACCAGAUCCCCUACCCCGUCCCUUCCCACAUCCACAGCCGCGUCCCUUCCCAUUUCCACAGCCGCGUCCCUACCCAAAUCCAAUACCAAGAAGAUUUCGUCGAUCGCUGCCAUUACCUACAGCCCCUGCCCAGCUGAACGCAGUUGUGUGGAGAAAACGAAAACCGUGUCUUCUUCCUACAGUUGGCCCUCGCGUCAUUGGGUAACAUGGGAUUUCUGUUAACGGAAGAAACCCACAUGGAAUCUCGACUCUCUGUUUCUAACGGCGAUUCGUUUGCGUCACCUGUAAGAAUAAAGUUGGUGGUUCACCA